rnacentral:rRNA from 1 species
UACGAGGGGUGCAAGCGUUGCUCGGAAUUAUUGGGCGUAAAGGGUAGGUAGGUGGUCUCAUUUGUCUGGGGUGAAAUCCUUGGGCUUAACCUAAGAAGUGCCUCAGAAACGGUGAGACUAGAGUACUGGAGAGGGUCGUGGAAUUCCCGGUGUAGCGGUGAAAUGCGUAGAGAUCGGGAGGAACACCAGAGGCGAAGGCGGCGACCUGGACAGUAACUGACACUCAACUACGAAAGCGUGGGGAGCAAAC